rnacentral:rRNA from 1 species
AUGAACGCUGGCGGCGUGCCUCAUACAUGCAAGUCGAGCGAACAGAUAAGGAGCUUGCUCCUUUGACGUUAGCGGCGGACGGGUGAGUAACACGUGGGUAACCUACCUAUAAGACUGGGAUAACUUCGGGAAACCGGAGCUAAUACCGGAUAACAUUUGGAACCGCAUGGUUCUAAAGUGAAAGAUGGUUUUGCUAUCACUUAUAGAUGGACCCGCGCCGUAUUAGCUAGUUGGUAAGGUAACGGCUUACCAAGGCGACGAUACGUAGCCGACCUGAGAGGGUGAUCGGCCACACUGGAACUGAGACACGGUCCAGACUCCUACGGGAGGCAGCAGUAGGGAAUCUUCCGCAAUGGGCGAAAGCCUGACGGAGCAACGCCGCGUGAGUGAUGAAGGGUUUCGGCUCGUAAAACUCUGUUAUUAGGGAAGAACAAAUGUGUAAGUAACUGUGCACGUCUUGACGGUACCUAAUCAGAAAGCCACGGCUAACUACGUG